rnacentral:misc_RNA from 1 species
GUCCUUUCUCGCUCAAACCUGAAAAGGCAAAAUAUCAUGCAUAAAGCAAAGUAAAAAUGGCAAUUCUCCUUAAAAAAUUGGUUGUAAAGCAACACAUUAAAGCAAAUUCAAAGAUUUUAGAACCCAACAGAGAGAAGGCAGCAAACAAGAACAUAAGUUCAAGAAGUCCAGGAAGCACAAUCCAAUGAACUAGUAGCUCUGUGACAAAUUCAUGAUGCUGAUCAUUCAAAACAAAUGGUGAUUGCAGUUUAUACAAUGGGGAUUACCCUUAUUCCUCCCCUUGUUCUAACCAUCAUCUGGUGCUGAACAUUCAGUCUUCUAAAACUAAACACAGUAGUUCACAUGAUCAGGUACAUGAAUAAUUUGUCAUAAAAUGUGAUUAUCUGAGCCUCAGAUUUCAGAUUUUGCAAUGUGUCAAAGGUUCCACAAUUCCAAAUAUUAACUAAUGUUUCAUAAAUCUUAACUUUGGGCAUUAAUAUGCGGCUCUUCUUGAGUUUAUUAGUCAAAACAUCAAAUAGAAAAUGACUUGCAUGCAUGUGUGUUAAGCAUACAUAUACAAAUAUGAGCGUAAGCACUAAAAGCAGAGGUAAGGUAGGUAUAAAUCCUUUCUUAGAGUACUAUAAGCAUAAGGCAGUUAUCUAGGUGAUUCAAUUAGUCUGUAAUGCCAAGCAGACUGUAAUAAUCCUCUUCUCUAAUAGGAACGCCCCUAAGUUCCUAUUGUGUAAGCAGAAGAAAAUGAAGAACUAGAGCAAGUCUUCCUUGAUGAGCCUAAGGAGAAAGGAGGAGUAAUGCUCUAAUCCCCAUUUUACUUAUUGAUUAGAACUAGAAUAUUAGAAGCUAAAAGAGUUUAGCAAGGCUUUGAAACAGUUCCCAUGGCUUUGUUUAGGAGAAAAGGUUUUUCUUCUUCUUAUUCUUCACCCUCUUUUUAUUUAUUUAUUUAUUUGAGAUGUGAGUAUAUUCUUUCAUUUUCCCUCUAACAAUGCAAGUGUUCUCAGGCGUUCAGGUUUUUUGAUCGU